rnacentral:piRNA from 2 species
GAUGACACGCAAAUUCGUGAAGCGU